rnacentral:rRNA from 1 species
CAGGCUUAACACAUGCAAGUCGAGGGGCAGCGGGGGUAGCGAUACCCGCCGGCGACCGGCGCACGGGUGAGUAACGCGUAUGCAACUUGCCUAUCAGAGGGGGAUAACCCGGCGAAAGUCGGACUAAUACCGCAUGAAGCAGGGGCCCCGCAUGGGGAUAUUUGCUAAAGAUUCAUCGCUGAUAGAUAGGCAUGCGUUCCAUUAGGCAGUUGGCGGGGUAACGGCCCACCAAACCGACGAUGGAUAGGGGUUCUGAGAGGAAGGUCCCCCACAUUGGUACUGAGACACGGACCAAACUCCUACGGGAGGCAGCAGUGAGGAAUAUUGGUCAAUGGCCGAGAGGCUGAACCAGCCAAGUCGCGUGAGGGAUGAAGGUUCUAUGGAUCGUAAACCUCUUUUAUAAGGGAAUAAAGUGCGGGACGUGUCCCGUUUUGUAUGUACCUUAUGAAUAAGGAUCGGCUAACUCCGUGCCAGCAGCCGCGGUAAUACGGAGGAUCCGAGCGUUAUCCGGAUUUAUUGGGUUUAAAGGGUGCGUAGGCGGCCUUUUAAGUCAGCGGUGAAAGUCUGUGGCUCAACCAUAGAAUUGCCGUUGAAACUGGGGGGCUUGAGUAUGUUUGAGGCAGGCGGAAUGCGUGGUGUAGCGGUGAAAUGCAUAGAUAUCACGCAGAACCCCGAUUGCGAAGGCAGCCUGCCAAGCCAUUACUGACGCUGAUGCACGAAAGCGUGGGGAUCAAACAGGAUUAGAUACCCUGGUAGUCCACGCAGUAAACGAUGAUCACUAGCUGUUUGCGAUACACUGUAAGCGGCACAGCGAAAGCGUUAAGUGAUCCACCUGGGGAGUACGCCGGCAACGGUGAAACUCAAAGGAAUUGACGGGGGCCCGCACAAGCGGAGGAACAUGUGGUUUAAUUCGAUGAUACGCGAGGAACCUUACCCGGGUUUGAACGCAUUCGGACCGAGGUGGAAACACCUUUUCUAGCAAUAGCCGUUUGCGAGGUGCUGCAUGGUUGUCGUCAGCUCGUGCCGUGAGGUGUCGGCUUAAGUGCCAUAACGAGCGCAACCCUUGCCACUAGUUACUAACAGGUAAAGCUGAGGACUCUGGUGGGACUGCCAGCGUAAGCUGCGAGGAAGGCGGGGAUGACGUCAAAUCAGCACGGCCCUUACAUCCGGGGCGACACACGUGUUACAAUGGCGUGGACAAAGGGAGGCCACCUGGCGACAGGGAGCGAAUCCCCAAACCACGUCUCAGUUCGGAUCGGAGUCUGCAACCCGACUCCGUGAAGCUGGAUUCGCUAGUAAUCGCGCAUCAGCCAUGGCGCGGUGAAUACGUUCCCGGGCCUUGUACACACCGCCCGUCAAGCCAUGGGAGCCGGGGGUACCUGAAGUCCGUAACCGAAAGGAUCGGCCUAGGGUAAAACUGGUGACUGGGGCUAAGUCAU